rnacentral:rRNA from 1 species
CCUACGGGUGGCAGCAGUGAGGAAUAUUGGUCAAUGGACGGAAGUCUGAACCAGCCAUGCCGCGUGCAGGAAGACGGCUCUAUGAGUUGUAAACUGCUUUUGUACAAGGGUAAACCUGAAUACGUGUAUUCCGCUGAACGUACUGUACGAAUAAGGAUCGGCUAACUCCGUGCCAGCAGCCGCGGUAAUACGGAGGAUCCAAGCGUUAUCCGGAUUUAUUGGGUUUAAAGGGUGCGUAGGCGGAUGGAUAAGUUAGAGGUGAAAUGUCCGGGCUUAACUCGGGAACUGCCUCUAAUACUGUUAGGCUAGAGAGUAGAUGCGGUAGGCGGAAGGUAUGGUGUAGCGGUGAAAUGCUUAGAGAUCAUACAGAACACCGAUUGCGAAGGCAGCUUACCAAGCUAUAUCUGACGUUGAGGAACGAAAGCGUGGGGAGCAAACAGGAUUAGAUACCCGAGUAGUC